CUGCGGAGGGAUCAUUACAGAGUUGAAAAACUCCAACCCCUGUGAACAUACCUUUACUGUUGCUUCGGCGGACGAUGGCCCCCCCCGGGGGCCGGACGCCGCCGGAGGUUACAAACCCUGAAUUUUAGUGUAUCUCUGAGUAUAAAACCAAAUAAUUAAAACUUUCAACAACGGAUCUCUUGGUUCUGGCAUCGAUGAAGAACGCAGCGAAAUGCGAUAAGUAAUGUGAAUUGCAGAAUUCAGUGAAUCAUCGAAUCUUUGAACGCACAUUGCGCCCGCCGGUAUUCCGGCGGGCAUGCCUGUCCGAGCGUCAUUUCACCACUCAAGCCCAGCUUGGUGUUGGGGCACCCGGCCGCCCGGCGGUCGGGGCCCCCAAGAACAUCGGCGGUCUCGCCAGGACCCUGAACGCAGUAACUCGCGGUAAAACGCGCUUCGUUCGGAGGCUUCCCGGCGGGCUCCAGCCGCUAAACCCCCUAAACUUCUUAGGUUGACCUCGGAUCAGGUAGGAAUACCCGCUGAACUUAAGCAUAUCA
rnacentral:rRNA from 1 species